ACAAUCUGUUCCGGCUUCUUUUCUUCUUUUAUCCGGCAUAAAUUCUCCAUGCAUGUUCUUCAUCUUCUCGUUUAAUCGAGGAAAAAUAUCUUCUCGGUUUUGUAGUAAAGGAAAAACCUUUCUUCUCAGGUAUAAACACGUUUUUUACCUGCUUUCAUUUUGGUCUUUAAGAUGUUUAUCAAAUAUCAACGAAAGCGUUCUACAAAUCUUUGGCAAACUAACGAGCUCUACCAAUUGGCCGCUGUAGCAUUUUGCUUGCUUAUCGCUUGGUGACAAGCUCUGUUUAAGUCUUGAGUUGGGUUCCUUUGCGGCGGGAGUGAUGAACUCAACAACUGAUCUUGCUCAGCACACUCUUGAACAAGUGGAACCAAUCCGGAAAUUUUUUUGCAGCGCUGUUUCUUGCUAGCAUUGGAAUGUUGAUACAUAUGCACUUCUUGUGGAACCAUGUUGACAUUCUAGUAGCAGCAGUGUUACUGGUGAUAGUAAUAAAGACCGUGGUAGUUGCAGUUGUUGUUAAAGUCUUUCCAUACAACAACAGAACUGCAGUGCUUGUAAGAAGUGAACCUACUUGCAUCAAAUCUUCACCUAAUUGAGAGCAAACUGUACCUCUGCUUCUGGGGACAACUGCUUAAAGCUUGGUAUGGUCCAGUACAUCAUAGCUUAAGGACCUCAGGUGCUAUGUGCAGGUGUUGAUGAAGAUCGGAGUCCCGCGGGCCUGUACCGCCAAGGCUUGUGCAAGUCGCGGGUCGGGAUUGGGCAGCACUUCUAGGGACUGCAUACCGCGCGGGCCUGUACUGCCAAGACCCGCAUUGAACGUGUACCGCGGCGGGGCGGGACAAGUCGGGUCGGUACAACCCACUUGACAUCACUACGUGCGAUAUGUCUACUUGCGGUCAAAAGAUUCUCUUGGAGAAAGGUUCGUUUAUUUAAUAAAUAUUCUUAGUAGCUUUAUGUACUACAAGACACUCUUUUCUUUCCAUCACAAGAACCAAAAAAGGAAAAAAAGGAUUUUGCAUCGUGUGGCUACGUUAACUUAUUUUAUUAGGUAACUGGCGAUAAAGCUGUUCACUUUUAGAUAAUACCAAAAGUAUCCUUAUUAGAAUAAAAUAAUGAUAUCUAGGAUUUAGGCAGUUUGUCUGACACACCGCUAGGAUAGCCGGUAAAACAUGCCAUUGUAUUAAUGAUUAUGCACGUCGGAACUGUUUCGAAAUCUGCAUUCAAUAUUUUGCAAAGAGCCAGAACCUAUAUGUUUUCCCCUAUCUUCGUCUAUUUAUAUUCCCAAGUUCUUAUCUUUUACUCAACUUCCAAGAAUUCCCUCAGCCGUAAAUGAGAUGGUUGCCUCGCGUCUUGUUGAAUUCCCAGAAGAUCUAGUCGAAGAAAUGAGUAUGACGCUACCAGAUAUGAUGUUUGUUGACGGCCAGGAACCCGUCGAAGUUAGGGUUCUUAGAGCAUGAUUAAUGGAGAGUUCUUAGGGUGGGUUCUUAGCGGAAUA